rnacentral:rRNA from 1 species
UAGAGAUUUUGGAGGGAGAGCCCUGUUGGGGGGGGGGGCCACCCCGGAUUACAAAUUCGGAGAACUCGGAAAUCCAAAAAAAAGGGUCGCCAGUCAAAUGGGAGGGGUUAAAAUCCGUAGUUGAAAGGGAAACAGCCCCGGCCCCCAGUAAGGUUCCCAAAUAAUUUGUAAGUGGAAAAGGAUGUGGGGUUGCACAGACAACUAGGAUGUUAGCUUAGAAGCAGCUAUUCAUUCAAAGAGUGCGUAAUAGCUCACUAGUGGAAUGACCCUGCGCCGAAAAUGUACCGGGGCUAAAACAAUUUACCGAAGCUGUGGAUACCUUNAUAGGUAUGGUAGGAGAGCGUUCUAUGUGUGAUGAAGGUAUACCGUGAGGAGUGCUGGAACGCAUAGAAGUGAGAAUGCCGGUAUGAGUAGCGAAAGACAGGUGAGAAUCCUGUCCACCGUAAGACUAAGGUUUCCAGGGGAAGGCUCGUCCGCCCUGGGUUAGUCGGGACCUAAGGAGAGACCGAAAGGUGUAUCCGAUGGACAACAGGUUGAUAUUCCUGUACUAGAGUAUGUAGUGAUGGAGGGACGCAGUAGGCUAACUAAAGCAGACGAUUGGAAGAGUCUGUCUAAGCAGUGAGGUGUGAAUUGAGUCAAAUGCUUAAUUCUAUAACAUUGAGCUGUGAUGGGGAGCGAAGUUUAGUAGCGAAGUUAGUGACGUCACACUGCCAAGAAAAGCUUCUAGCGUUUAAACAUACUCUACCCGUACCGCAAACCGACACAGGUAGUCGAGGCGAGUAGCCUCAGGUGAGCGAGAGAACUCUCGUUAAGGAACUCGGCAAAAUGACCCCGUAACUUCGGGAGAAGGGGUGCUGACUUAAAGUCAGCCGCAGUGAAUAGGCCCAAGCAACUGUUUAUCAAAAACACAGCUCUCUGCUAAAUCGUAAGAUGAUGUAUAGGGGGUGACGCCUGCCCGGUGCUGGAAGGUUAAGAGGAGUGCUUAGCGUAAGCGAAGGUAUGAAUUGAAGCCCCAGUAAACGGCGGCCGUAACUAUAACGGUCCUAAGGUAGCGAAAUUCCUUGUCGGGUAAGUUCCGACCCGCACGAAAGGCGUAAUGAUUUGGGCACUGUCUCAACGAGAGACUCGGUGAAAUUUUAGUACCUGUGAAGAUGCAGGUUACCCGCGACAGGACGGAAAGACCCCA